rnacentral:rRNA from 1 species
UGAACCUGAGAGUUUGAUCCUGGCUCAGAGCGAACGCUGGCGGCAUGCUUAACACAUGCAAGUCGCACGAACCUUUCGGGGUUAGUGGCGGACGGG